rnacentral:rRNA from 1 species
CCAGACACAACGAGGAUUGACAGAUUGAUAGCUCUUUCUUGAUUUUGUGGAAGCCGGUGCAUGGCCGUUUUAGUUGGUGGAGUGAUUUGUCUGGUUUAGUCCGAUAACGAACGAGACCUUCUUCUAUUAAAUAGGUGAGCUAGCACGGGGGUUCAUGGGGGCGUUGGGGCAACCUGGCGUCUUCUGGGGCUCCCAUUAGUUGCUGGCAAUAUAAACUUCUUAGAGAGACUGUUGGCGUCUUUAAAAGCCAAAGGAAGAUUGAGGCAAAAACAGGUCUGUGAUGCCGCUCGAUGUCUGGGGCUGCACGCGCGUUACACUGAAGUGUUCAGCGAGUAUUAUAUCAAGGCCGAAGGGCCUAAGAGAACCUUUUAAAGCAUUUCGUGAUGGGGAUUGUAUAUUGAAACUAUUACACAUAAACGAG